rnacentral:rRNA from 1 species
GGAUUUUCGGACCUUCUGCUUAGGGAUAAGAUUGCGUCCUAUUAGCUAGUUGGUGGGGUAACGGCCCACCAAGGCUGUGAUGGGUAGCCGGCCUGAGAGGGUGAACGGCCACACUGGAACUGAGACACGGUCCAGACUCCUACGGGAGGCAGCAGUGCUGAAUUAUUCGCCAAUGCGCGAAAGCGUGACGGUGCGACGCCGCGUGAAGGAUGAAGGCCUUCGGGUCGUAAACUUCUGUCAGGGUAUAGAAAACUACAGUAGUUAAUAGCUGCUGUCCUGAUCGUACCCAGAGGAAGCACAGGCUAAUUUCGUGCCAGCAGCCGCGGUAAUACGAAAUGUGCGAGCGUUGUUCGGAUUUACUGGGCAUAAAGGGUCCGUAGGCGGCCUGGAAAGUUGGAUGUGAAAUCCCUUGGCUCAACCAAGGAAUUGCAUACAAAACUACCAGGCUUGAGGGUAACAGAGGCAAGUGGAAUUCCAGGUGUAGCGGUGGAAUGCGUAGAUAUCUGGGAGAACGCCAAAGGAGAAGUCAGCUUGCUGGGUUAUUUCUGACGCUCAUGGACGAAAGCUAGGGGAGCAAACAGGAUUAGAUACCCUGGUAGUCCUAGCCGUAAACGAUGGAUACUUUGUAUCGGGAGACCUGAUUCUCUCGGUGCCGGAGCUAAUGCGUUAAGUAUCCCGCCUGGGGAGUAUGGUCGCAAGGCUAAAACUCAAAGGAAUUGACGGGGGCUCACACAAGCGGUGGAGCAUGUUGUUUAAUUCGAAGCAACGCGAAGAACCUUACCUAGAUUUGACAUGUUGGAAGUAGGAACUAGAAAUAGUAACGACCGGUAUCCAGUCCGGAACCUUCACAGGUGCUGCAUGGCUGUCGUCAGCUCGUGUUGUGAAACGUUAGGUUAAGUCCUGUAACGAGCGAAACCCCUGUCGUUUGUUGCCAUCAGUUAUGCUGGGCACUCGGACGAUACUGCCGGUGUUAAACCCGGAGGAAGGCGGGGACGACGUCAAGUCAUCAUGGUCCUUUACAUCUAGGGCUACAAACGUGCUAACAAUGCAGAUAAAGAGAGACGCAAUACCCGCGAGUGAGCAAUCUUCAAAUCUGCCAGUCGAUUGAGCUGAAAUUCGCCCUCCAUGAGUGGAAUUCGCUAGUACUCGCGAUCAGCCUACGUCGGUGAAUACGUUCCUGGGACCCUUUGUUAGCAGA